UGCGUAGGCGGCGGGGCAAGUCAGGUGUGAAAUCUCGGGGCUCAACUCCGAAACUGCAUUUGAUACUGCCUUGCUAGAGUACUGGAGAGGAGAUUGGAAUUUACGGUGUAGCAGUGAAAUGCGUAGAUAUCGUAAGGAAGACCAGUGGCGAAGGCGAAUCUCUGGACAGUUACUGACGCUGAGGCACAAGGGGCCCAGGGGGAAGGCGAACGG
rnacentral:rRNA from 1 species